AUGCUGAGCGAAGCCGCAUCCCCGCCCACCUUAAGCAGGUCCUAUUUCAAGGGAACCAAGGGGCAGGACCAGAGAGGAGCUGCUCCCCAGCCUCCUCCACAGGCACAGGUCCGGGCUUCAGGACGCAGGUGGGAGAAGAGCCUGCAAGGAGUUCUCGGGGCCAGCACACAGGAGCAGAGAUCAAGUGAAACAGUCUCACCGACAAAGAUGUCUUUGCCUCCAAAGAUGAAAGAUCUCCACCUGGAGGAGAAAUACCUGCAACCGGAAACCAAGGAAGUGAAUGGAAUCCUCAUGACCAAGAUGAUAAGUGAUAACUGGGACAAAAUCUGGAAUUUUCAAGCCAAGCCUGAUGACCUUCUCAUUGCAACUUACGCAAAAGCAGGCACCACCUGGACCCAGGAGAUCGUGGACAUGAUCCAGAACGACGGGGAUCUGCAGAAGUGCCAGCGGGCCAGCACCUUUGAUCGGCACCCUUUCAUCGAGUGGACGCUCCCCCCGCCCCUCAACUCAGGUCUGGAUCUCGCCAACAAGAUGCCUUCUCCGAGGACUCUGAAGACUCACCUGCCUGUUCAGAUGCUCCCCCCUUCCUUCUGGAAAGAGAACGCAAAGAUCAUCUACGUGGCCAGGAACGCCAAGGACUGCCUGGUAUCCUAUUACCAUUUCUCAAGAAUGAAUAAGAUGGUGCCAGACCCUGGCUCCUGGGAGGAGUAUGUCGAGAACUUCAAAGCUGGGAAAGUGCUGUGGGGCUCCUGGUACGACCACGUGAAGGGCUGGUGGCACGCCAAGGACCAGCAUCGCAUCCUCUACCUCUUCUACGAGGACAUGAAGGAGAACCCAAAGCAUGCAAUUCAGAAGCUGGCAGAAUUUAUUGGAAAGAGCUUAGAUGAUAAAGUUCUGGAUAAAAUUGUUCACCACACUUCAUUUAGCGUCAUGAAGCAGAACCCGAUGGCAAACUACACAUCGAUUCCGGCUGAAUUCAUGAACCAGUCGAUUUCUCCAUUCAUUAGAAAAGGGGUCGUCGGGGAUUGGAAGAACCACUUCACCGUGGCCCAGAACGAGAGAUUUGAUGAUGAUUACAGGAAGAACAUGGCUGACACCACUCUAACUCUCCACUUUCGAUUCUCUUAAGGAAGGAAAAGCAUCAGAUUUAAUUGGUAUAAAUGUUGAUUGCCCUGACCUCGUGAUAUUGAAUUCAGGUGGAGGGACUAAGUGCUUCUUGUGUCUGCUUUUGUUCACACUAAAAAAAGAUGGAGCUAACAGUGGUUGGGGCCAGGUGGAAGGCGGAGACUUGCAACCCUGGCAUCCUUACUAAUGAUCGUGAUGCAUCAGUUUUCUACAGACCACACGCGUGUGAACACGUUAAAUAUGCUCUGGUCAUCACAUAAGAAUAUACUCAAGUUUUCAGAUUCAGUGUUGAUUUAAGCAAAUUUGUAAAAACAGCACUAAAAUGUGUCAAUAGUUACUAUUUCUUGCAGGUGACUAUUUUCCCCUGAAACGUUCUCAUUCACUUCAGGCUUCUUCCUUCAGUGCCUCUACCCCUGUCCCUCACCUCUGCCUCUGUACUUCCCUGGACUCCCCUCCCACUCGC
rnacentral:lncRNA from 1 species